UACAGAGGAGCCAAGCGUUGUCCGGAUUGACUGGGCGUAAAGCGCACGCAGGCGGAUGCGCGCGUGGGGUGUGAAAUCUGGCCGCUUAACGGCCAGGCGCCAUCCCAUACGGCGCGUCUGGAGUGAUGCAGAGGUCGAUGGAAUUGCCGGUGUAGUGGUGAAAUGUGUAGAGAUCGGGAGGAACACCGGUGGCGAAGGCGGUCUUCUGGACCGGUAUUGACGCUGAGGCGCGAAAGCCAGGGGAGCAAACGGG
rnacentral:rRNA from 1 species